rnacentral:rRNA from 1 species
UGGGGAAUAUUGCACAAUGGGCGCAAGCCUGAUGCAGCGACGCCGCGUGAGGGAUGACGGCCUUCGGGUUGUAAACCUCUUUCAGCAGGGACGAAGCGCGAGUGACGGUACCUGCAGAAGAAGCACCGGCCAACUACGUGCCAGCAGCCGCGGUAAUACGUAGGGUGCGAGCGUUGUCCGGAAUUACUGGGCGUAAAGAGCUCGUAGGCGGUUUGUCGCGUCGUCUGUGAAAUUCUGCAGCUUAACUGCAGGCGUGCAGGCGAUACGGGCAGACUUGAGUACUACAGGGGAGACUGGAAUUCCUGGUGUAGCGGUGAAAUGCGCAGAUAUCAAGAGGAACACCGGUGGCGAAGGCGGGUCUCUGGGUAGUAACUGGCGCUGAGGAGCGAAAGCGUGGGUAGCGAACAGGAUUAGAUACCCUGGUAGUCCACGCCGUAAACGGUGGGUACUAGGUGUGGUUCCAUUUCACGGGAUCCGUGCCGUAGCUAACGCAUUAAGUACCCCGCCUGGGGAGUACGGCCGCAAGGCUAAAACUCAAAGGAAUUGACGGGGUCAUAGCUGUUUCCU